rnacentral:rRNA from 1 species
CCUACGGGAGGCAGCAGUGAGGAAUAUUGGUCAAUGGGCGCGAGCCUGAACCAGCCAAGUCGCGUGAGGGAUGACGGCCCUACGGGUUGUAAACCUCUUUUGCCGGGGAGCAACGGGCGCCACGUGUGGCGUCACUGAGAGUACCCGGAGAAAAAGCAUCGGCUAACUCCGUGCCAGCAGCCGCGGUAAUACGGAGGAUGCGAGCGUUCUCCGGAUUUAUUGGGUUUAAAGGGUGCGUAGGCGGAGAGUUAAGUCAGUGGUCAAAUUGAGGGGCUCAACCCCUUCCCGCCAGUGAAACUGGCGUUCUUGAGUGGAAGAGAAGUAUGCGGAAUGCGUGGUGUAGCGGUGAAAUGCAUAGAUAUCACGCAGAACCCCGAUUGCGAAGGCAGCAUGCCGGCUUCCGACUGACGCUGAAGCACGAAAGCGUGGGGAUCGAAUAGGAUUAGAUACCCGGGUAGUC